CGCGGGGCAACCUGGCGGCGAGUGGCGAACGGGUGAGUAAUAUAUCGGAACGUACCCAGAAGUGGGGGAUAACGUAGCGAAAGUUACGCUAAUACCGCAUACGAUCUACGGAUGAAAGUGGGGGACCUUCGGGCCUCAUGCUUUUGGAGCGGCCGAUAUCUGAUUAGCUAGUUGGUGAGGUAAAGGCUCACCAAGGCAACGAUCAGUAGCUGGUCUGAGAGGACGACCAGCCACACUGGAACUGAGACACGGUCCAGACUCCUACGGGAGGCAGCAGUGGGGAAUUUUGGACAAUGGGCGCAAGCCUGAUCCAGCAAUGCCGCGUGAGUGAAGAAGGCCUUCGGGUUGUAAAGCUCUUUUGUCAGGGAAGAAACGGCUCCGGCUAAUAUCCGGGGCUAAUGACGGUACCUGAAGAAUAAGCACCGGCUAACUACGUGCCAGCAGCCGCGGUAAUACGUAGGGUGCAAGCGUUAAUCGGAAUUACUGGGCGUAAAGCGUGCGCAGGCGGUUUUGUAAGUCUGACGUGAAAGCCCCGGGCUCAACCUGGGAAUUGCGUUGGAGACUGCAAGGCUUGAAUCUGGCAGAGGGGGGUAGAAUUCCACGUGUAGCAGUGAAAUGCGUAGAGAUGUGGAGGAACACCGAUGGCGAAGGCAGCCCCCUGGGUCAAGAUUGACGCUCAUGCACG
rnacentral:rRNA from 1 species